rnacentral:rRNA from 1 species
UACGUAGGGUGCGAGCGUUUGUCCGGAAUUAUUGGGCGUAAAGGGCUCGUAGGCGGUCUGUCGCGUCGAAAGUGAAAAACUCAGGGCUUAACCCUGAGCCUGCUUCCGAUACGGGCAGACUAGAGGUAUGCAGGGGAGAACGGAAUUCCUGGUGUAGCGGUGAAAUGCGCAGAUAUCAGGAGGAACACCGGUGGCGAAGGCGGUUCUCUGGGCAUUACCUGACGUGAGGAGCGAAAGUGUGGGGAGCGAACAGG